rnacentral:rRNA from 1 species
AUUGAACGCUGGCGGCAUGCUUUACACAUGCAAGUCGAACGGUAACAGGCCUUCGGGCGCUGACGAGUGGCGAACGGGUGAGUAAUGCAUCGGAACGUGCCCAGUCGUGGGGGAUAACUAUCCGAAAGGAUAGCUAAUACCGCAUACGAUCUGCGGAUGAAAGCGGGGGACCUUCGGGCCUCGCGCGAUUGGAGCGGCCGAUGUCAGAUUAGGUAGUUGGUGGGGUAAAGGCGCACCAAGCCAACGAUCUGUAGCUGGUCUGAGAGGACGACCAGCCACACUGGGACUGAGACACGGCCCAGACUCCUACGGGAGGCAGCAGUGGGGAACUUUGGACAAUGGGCGCAAGCCUGAUCCAGCAAUGCCGCGUGCAGGAAGAAGGCCUUCGGGUUGUAAACUGCUUUUGUACGGAACGAAACGGCUCUGGUUAAUACCCGGGGCUAAUGACGGUACCGUAAGAAUAAGCACCGGCUAACUACGUGCCAGCCGCCGCAGUAA